CCUACGAGCUCGGAUAAAGAAGAAGAAGAAGAAGAAACAGUGAGAUGCACAUUUGUGUACUCCUCGUGUCCUAGUCCAGCUCAGCUUGUAUCCUAUCCUCAUCAUGCUUGCCGCAGGUCUCCUUUAAUAUAGUCAUAGUGGCCUCAUAACAGGACCAGUUUACCCGUGCUCGCGAAGGUCAUUAAUUCAUCGGGUCAACGAGGAGGGUAGAAAGGGCCUGUGCAGACCGGCGCGACGGCACGGCUCGUAUAGGUGCGAUGCGAUGUGGCUGCACCUUCGGGCGUGGCGUGGAGUAGGCCGUGCGGAGGGUGGCUGAAGGAAGGCGGAUAAAGUUAGGGGACCGGCGCGUGGCCUACGGCGGAGGGUAUAGGGAGUUGGUAGAGAUUGUUGGUAGGCACCCGCCACGUUAGACAAACAUAGGCAGCCAGCGAGGGCUGCUGGCUCUUCUCGAUCGCGGCAACGAGCCGCCUCUAGUGCGCGGCCAGCGUCUCCGCCUCAUCUCUUCUCUCCUACCUGGUGCGCCGCCUCCGCGUCGCCUGCCUGGACUACUGCUAGUGCGCCGUGCGCGACUUGCUCGUCCCCGCCGUGGGCCUCAGGGCCCCGCUGAAGUGGUAGGAGGAGAGGGUGUAGCAGGAGCCGACGUUCAAGCAGCGGAGGCGGCAGUUGUUCCGGCCGGAGCGGUUCGAGUAGCCGGAGCGGCCGCUCUGGUUGCAGGUCCCCCUCCUCGUCUUCUUCGACCUGCACGAGAGGUUGCUCCAGAAACAGUUCCGCGAGCAGUCGUCGCCGGCGUGGACACAGGAGCACAGACUUCUCUUGCUCCGCCGGUAGAAGCAGCUGCGCGGGGAGGCGCCCUUCAUGACGCACACGAAGCUAGGCGACCUGCCGAGGAGGUUGUAGCUGACGCCGCAGAGGUAGCCCUGCUAGAAACCCUAGAUGUACUAGUUUCUGUUCCUGUUGCGCUGAGACCUCCUGCACGACGUUGGGCCCUGACUGUACUAGCGGCGACCGAUGACGUACAUGCCCUCGAGUACGUGCGAACACAACUCGUGGCCCUUGCCACAAUUACCGAAGUGAGAACUAGGAAGGGAACCCCUCAAGUAUGAAUGGGUAGGGUUGUAUUUCUAUGGUUUGUUUCCCUUCUAGAUAAGCCAGUUACUUCCCUUGCGGUCUUUGACCCUGCGCGGGUGUCGUUUCAUGCACCUCUCUACGUUCAAAGGGGUUCUGCCGAGUAGUGGUUUUAGGAACUCUAUGUAACCUUCGUACCAACGGCUACAAGUAGCAUGGGACGAGAUGCCUCCGUAUAAAGACAUGGGGCGGCUGUUCUUCUCGGGGUUGCCCUUCGAAGCACAAGACAUGCUCCAAAAGGGGUACAGCAAGGACUACCUCGUUCGGCCUCCGGUCAGAAAGUGGCCGUUUGUCGCACGGGAACUUUAGCAAGGACGACUCUAUGUGGUCUCCAGAGGCUAUAAGGAGCCCUCGAUGCUACUACACCUCCUCUAAUUUAGUGACAUGCGAAGCCUCAGCUCGUGGCGGACUAGACUCAUGGGCUUCUGUGUAUGUGUACGAGACGUAGCACAAGGCGCAACACUGUUUUGAGGGAUCCAUCACAAUGUACCACUAAGACUCUAGAAACAGUACCGGAGCUACAUUGUUAUGGACACAUAUGUAUAUAAACUGUAUAACGUGCAGUAAAAUUAUUCAUAGGGGACAUUUCUUUAUAUUCUAGCAAAUCUUAUGAUUUAUAUUCUAUCAUAAGAUUUGCUAAAAUAUGAAGAAAUGUCUCCUUCAUGAGGUUCUCUCCCCUUGUUAAGAUUGUUCACUAGCUAACCCAAAACUGGUUUAAAACAAAACGUGAAGGCUAGUGCCUGGUGUGGGGGAAUGAAAAGAGAGUACCGACCGUCGGUUCUAGUUAAGGUUGUAUAUAUAUAUACAUCAAGUAGUAAUAGUUGUUCGGGGGCGCGACAGGGGGCGAACCCGCCGAGCCCGCCUCGACGGGAUGGUUCGGCAGCCCCGCGGGAAGGGGACUAAGGAAGGAAGCAGUGGCAACCUCCUUCGGCGGCCCGCUUCGGACCGGUUGGCUGUCGCUACCGCCUCCACGAGAGGAGGAGGGACGUAGCCCAGAUCUACCCCGCCCCGUAGGUGGGCGCGCCGCCAACGCCCGCCCCCCACGCCCCGCCGCCGCCGGUCCGUCCGUCGCCGCCUGCUGCUGUCCAGGUUGCUGUCGCCGAACCCGUGGGCUAGAUCCGGGUCUACCCGAAGCCACCCGGCGUGAACGACUAGAGUACAUGGCAGGGCAGUUACCGAACGACGGGGACCCUAGCUGGGCAUUGAGCUCCCGCAGCCCCCGAGGCUGGACCCGCACCGCCACCACCGGUGGGGGAAGCGGCCUCUACCAGCCGGAUUCCGACCCAACAGCCUAAAGGUCUAGGCAGUAGAUCAGGGCUGACGCUCAACCCCUCUGUCUCAACGGCCACUUUUGGCUCGGUUACCGUCCGCUACCGCCGCAAAACACAGCAAUGGAACUACUUCCGUAGCAGCAUAUUGAAGACAGCUGGGUAAGCACAACGAAGCCCCACAAUUUGCACGAUACUACGUGGCCGCGUACUCCAUCAAUCCUAUCUAUCUCUAUCUAAUAAAAGGAAAGAGAGGUUCAGGAUAGAGGAGGAACUUAUAGAGAGAGAGUAUACAUUAGAGUUGAUAUAACAUACGCGUUACCAACCAUCCACGCGGGGUGAUAUAUUGUGCUUGGGCAGCCGGAGUUAUCCGAUUCUGCAAAAGUCGAUAGCGUGUACCAUCAGUCUCGUUAGGAAAAGGGUAGAUUCGAGGUACGUUUGAGGUAGAUCGGGAUCGGUACAGAAGGAGGAGGCUGCGGAGGGUUUGGUCGGAGUUACGGGUC
rnacentral:rRNA from 1 species